UACGUAGGUGGCAAGCGUUGUCCGGAUUUACUGGGCGUAAAGAGCGCGCAGGCGGUCGUUCAAGUCGCGUGUGAAAGCCCCCGGCUCAACUGGGGAGGGUCACGCGAUACUGAUCGACUCGAAGGCAGGAGAGGGUAGUGGAAUUCCCGGUGUAGUGGUGAAAUGCGUAGAUAUCUGGAGGAACACCGGUGGCGAAGGCGGCGUCCUGGACCAACACUGACACUGAUGAGCGAAAGCCAGGGGAGCAAACGGG
rnacentral:rRNA from 1 species